GACGAACGCUGGCGGCGUGCUUAACACAUGCAAGUCGAACGGUAAGGCCCUUCUUUGUUGGCGUGCUCCAAUCGCGAACGUAUCACUAACAUGUUCUUCACUUGCCCUCGGCUUUAGCAUGACUUCAUGAAUCUGGUACUAAUACCGGCUUCCUGCUCCUUCUGCAUGGUUGGGGUUGUAUAGUUUCGGCGGUUGGGGAUGGACUCGCGGCUUAUCAGCUUGUUGGUGGGGUAGUGGCUUACCAAGGCGUUGACGGGUAGCCGGCCUGAGAGGGUGACCGGCCACACUGGGACUGAGAUACGGCCCAGACUCCUACGGGAGGCAGCAGUGGGGAAUAUUGCACAAUGGGCGGAAGCCUGAUGCAGCAACGCCGCGUGAGGGAUGACGGCCUUCGGGUUGUAAACCGCUUUCGCCAGGGACGAAGCGUGAGUGACGGUAAUGGGAGAAGAAGCACCGGCUAACUACGUG
rnacentral:rRNA from 1 species